GAUGAACGCUGGCGGCGUGCCUAAUACAUGCAAGUCGAGCGAACGGACGAGAAGCUUGCUUCUCUGAUGUUAGCGGCGGACGGGUGAGUAACACGUGGAUAACCUACCUAUAAGACUGGGAUAACUUCGGGAAACCGUAGCUAAUACCGGAUAAUAUUUUGAACCGCAUGGUUCAAAAGUGAAAGACGGUCUUGCUGUCACUUAUAGAUGGAUCCGCGCUGCAUUAGCUAGUUGGUAAGGUAACGGCUUACCAAGGCAACGAUGCAUAGCCGACCUGAGAGGGUGAUCGGCCACACUGGAACUGAGACACGGUCCAGACUCCUACGGGAGGCAGCAGUAGGGAAUCUUCCGCAAUGGGCGAAAGCCUGACGGAGCAACGCCGCGUGAGUGAUGAAGGUCUUCGGAUCGUAAAACUCUGUUAUUAGGGAAGAACAUAUGUGUAAGUAACUGGGCACAUCUUGACGGUACCUAAUCAGAAAGCCACGGCUAACUACGUG
rnacentral:rRNA from 1 species